AUGUUGAAAGUCGGGAUGUUUUUCCAUGAAAUUCCAUAUGCGAUGCUGAAAGAAAUAAUAGAAUAAAAGCAAUGACUGGAUUAUGAUUUAAAAAAUGUGUAAUAAGCUUGGAAAUGUAUACAAUGUUUCGUGUAUAAGUAGCAAGGCGCUUUAAGCGCUUUGAAGACAAACACUAAGGCGCCAAAAGGAGAAUAUGCGAAGAUAGACCCGAAAUUCUUUUUUCAAAUAAAUAUCCAAAGAAAUCGUAUUUUAUCAAAUAAUGCCCAAAAAGUCUGUACGUGUUAGUUGAAAAAUUGGUUGGUCUCAAAAUGGCACAUCUAUCAUGAGAACACAUGCAACGUUACAAGUCAAACUGUCAAUUUAUUCUUUGUUUACAAACCAUUUGAAGUUGACGUGUCAAAGUAUUUUUUUAUUACGGAAAAAAUUUAAUAUCGCGCAGUGAUUGGAUUCUUUGCUUUGAAAGGUUUAAAAGCAAAGGAAAUUGAUGAACAAUUGUUAGAUGUGUAUAAGGAGUCCUCACCUUCAAAACGCACCGUUGUAUUUUGAGCUGAUGAAUUAAAGCGUGGUCAUACUAAGCUUGAAGACGAUCCACGCGAAGAACGACCAAAAACCGCAACCACACCAAAAAACAUUGAGCAAGUUCAUAAUAUUGUUAGUGAAGAUUCAAAUUUGGCUAAGCGUGAAAUUGCUAAUGCCAUAGAAAUCUCAGACAAACUAGUACUUCAUAUUUUACACGAAGAAUUACGUAUGAAAAAGCUGUUUGGAAAGUUACACGUUAACAAUUCAACAAAAACUUGAAAGCAUCUCAGCAUUUGGAUCGUUUUAAGCAGAAUAAAACCGAUUUCUUGCGUCGUUUUAUAACUAUGGAUGAGACUUGGAUCUAUCACCAUGAUUCUAAAUUGAAACAAGAAUGUUUACAGUGGACUGAAGCUGGUUGUUCAGCUUCAAAGCAGGUAAAGUCACAACGAUCAGCAAAGAAGGUUGUGGAAUCAGUUUUUCGGGAUGCAAAAGUAAUUUUGUUGAUUGAUUAUCUGCAAAAAGGUAAAACUUUGAAUAUUGCAGCUUUUUGGAUCAGCUGGAUGAAAAAAUUCUGGAGAAAAGACCUCUCUUACAGCACAAAAAAAAACCAACUGCUCACAAAGGUGUUUUAACAAUGAAAAAAUGUGAACCAGAGAGAAACCAGAAACAAUUGCUGCGUAGAAAGCGGUUUUCGUCGAAUGAAGAAGCUAUUACAGCCGUAGACGAGUAUUUUGCAGAGCUUCCGAAAAGUCAUUAUAGAGAUGGCAUAAAAUUGUUAGAGGAUCAUUGGAAUAAGUGUAUUGAAGUUAAGGGAGAUUAUAUUAUAUUGAAUAAAAACAUAUAUUUCGUUUCAAAAACAGUAUUUUUUUAUUUGGAGCGCAGAGACUUUUCAACCAACCUGUAAGUCUAUCUAUAGAUUUCGUAUUCUAUCAAAUAAUGAUCAAAAAGCCUCUGUAAUAGAUAUGUAUGCUUUCCUGUACUUAUAUACAAAAUAUAUGCAUUGUAUUACUAAAAGAUCGUAUUUACUGUUUGUAAAAUCAGUAAAGUUUUGCUAUUUUGAAAUCUACUGGUUCUGUUGGAGCUUCUUCCUAACCUCUUUCCUAUUGAAAUAUUUAUCUUUGUCUAAAGAACAGGUUAAAAGCUCAACAGGUUUCUUCAGACUUAACUUGCUUUUUAGAGAAUUUUAUAACCCUGAACACAUUAGAUCUUGAGAAACGUUCCAGGUUAUUUUUCACAAGUUUGGCAAUAUUCCGUCUAUUAGCUAGAAUAUAUGUAUAAUUUUCAUAUAUAAAUUCUUUCAAACGUAUGGAGUUUACACGAUAUGUACUGUGUUUUUUAUACAUCCAUAUAUUGCUUUGAUUUCCAUACCGUGUAUUUCUUUCUAAUAAAAUUAUUUUAUCUUAACAAUGUGUACAAUUUAUUAUUCAUAACAUUUCAAUGAUAUCCACCAUAAAUGUAUCCAGUUGUACACUUAUAGUUAAUACCAUUAGUGUGACUGAAUUCCCAUAUUUAUUUUGUCCUCAAAGCCUUCCUAUCAGAUAUAGUGGCAACACAAAGCGUUUAGGCUCUAACCAGUUCUAGUUUGCAUUUUUUGGUAUUUCUAACUUUUACAGUAAUUUAGACUUUGUCACCCACAUUUUAAAAUAAAAAGAAAUUAGGGUUCCAAGUUUAUUUCCUUCGUUUUUCGUGUUUGACUCAACUCUCAAACAAUUUCCGACAGCCUAGCUAUUUAUUUAUAAUAAGGGUGUGAACUUGCGCAAGCAAAAAAAGUGUGUCAGCUUGUAAAUAAGCGCUAAUAAAUACUGUUAUCAUAUCUAUUGUUCAAUGAUUACUAACAUUUCCAAGCGACAACACACAUUUGUCGUUAGAACUAAGGCAAAUCAGUUAAUAAGUACAUACCGAUAAUAUGGAUAAAGUUCGAAUAUACAUACACUUGUAUCAUAUUAACAUACUAAUAUAUCAAAAACCAAAUCAAAAAAAAAAAAAAAACCGAUGCAAAUUCUGUUUCGAACAUCAAACCAAUAAUAGCUGAAUUCAUAAAAUCUACUACAUUUUUUUGUCGGUUUCAAUUCUAAUUCCAACAGCUAUCAGAUUCCACAACACCCCGGAUUGUUUAGUUCAAAGGUUAUCUCUGGUAUCUUGCCUGCACUCCAUUAUAAAAAUAUUGCAUUUGCGAGCUGUUGUGGUGGAUUUUGGCAUGCUUUCGACACUAAGGGUCUUUUGCCAGUUAGUGGGCUAAGCGUUCUGCUAUAUUCUCCGACUUACUUUUCGCGCACAGCUCAUUGUUCUGAACUACCUUCUGUUAAAAGCAUAUUUUGCAGCUGUGCGAAUUACAUUUAGCAAAUUCAUUGGAACGUGCAAUAUCUAUAUUUUUAUAACAAAUAGUAUAUAUAUAAAACGUUGAAUUUGGAUUUAAGAUAAUUUAAGCCACAAGUCUUUCUAACCGCCAUACACCAUUUUUCAGAGUUUCUGCUGGAGAUAGGCUACGCUGUCAAAAUUUUUCAAAAUGAAUUGCCGAUUAUUAAAGUACAUUAACUUCUGACAAUAUUAUAAUUUUUUUUUUAUUUGCUUAUUAAAUUGUCUUUAAAUAAAUAAAAAAAUCACGCAAAAAAGUAUUUUUUCUAAUUUGCAAGUGAAUGUAGCCACAUGAAAAAGCAAUGUUUCACAAGUUCAAUAAAGUUCUUGAAUAACGUAAUUUAGAUGGGUCACUAUUGCAGCAACAACACACGACUUGAACGAUGGCGUGCAUUCAAAUGUGAGCUUUGAAUAAUUGUAAACUUAUGUAAUGCGAAGACACCUCAUUAAGCAACUCGUAUUGAAAGCAUUUAAAAUU